GGCAGUUCUCAGGUGACAAGCCCCAGAAUCGGGCUCCCUCUUCUCUGGUUCCGGGUGCAUCAUCCAAGAACCACA
rfam:Myotis davidii contig55577, whole genome shotgun sequence.